rnacentral:rRNA from 1 species
UACAGAGGUCCCAAGCGUUGUUCGGAUUCAUUGGGCGUAAAGGGUGCGUAGGCGGUUUUGUAAGUCUUGUGUGAAAUCUUCAGGCUCAACUUGAAGACUGCACGAGAAACUGCAGGGCUUGAGUGUGGGAGAGGUGAGUGGAAUUCCUGGUGUAGCGGUGAAAUGCGUAGAUAUCAGGAGGAACACCUGUGGCGAAAGCGGCUCACUGGACCACAACUGACGCUGAUGCACGAAAGCUAGGGGAGCAAACAGG